GACGAACGCUGGCGGCAUGCCUAACACAUGCAAGUCGAACGAGACCUUCGGGUCUAGUGGCGCACGGGUGCGUAACGCGUGGGAACCUGCCCUUAGGUUCGGAAUAACUCCCCGAAAGGGGUGCUAAUACCGGAUAAUGUCUUCGGACCAAAGAUUUAUCGCCUUUGGAUGGGCCCGCGUUGGAUUAGCUAGUUGGUAGGGUAAAAGCCUACCAAGGCGACGAUCCAUAGCUGGUCUGAGAGGAUGAUCAGCCACACUGGGACUGAGACACGGCCCAGACUCCUACGGGAGGCAGCAGUGGGGAAUAUUGGACAAUGGGCGAAAGCCUGAUCCAGCAAGGCCGCGUGAGUGAUGAAGGCCUUAGGGUUGUAAAGCUCUUUUACCCGGGAUGAUAAUGACAGGACCGGGAGAAUAAGCUCCGGCUAACUCCGU
rnacentral:rRNA from 1 species